UACGUAGGGGGCAAGCGUUGUCCGGAAUCAUUGGGCGUAAAGAGCGCGUAGGCGGCCCGAUAAGUCCGCUGUGAAAGUCAAGGGCUCAACCCUUGAAUGCCGGUGGAUACUGUCGGGCUAGAGUCCGGAAGAGGCGAGUGGAAUUCCUGGUGUAGCGGUGAAAUGCGCAGAUAUCUGGGAGGAACACCGGUGGCGAAGGCGGCAUCCUGGACCAAUAUUGACGCUGAGGAGCGAAAGCUAGGGGAGCAAACGGG
rnacentral:rRNA from 1 species